GAGUUUGAUCCUGGCUCAGGAUGAACGCUGGCGGCGUGCCUAACACAUGCAAGUCGAACGAAGCACUUUUCCCGAAUUUUUCGGAAUGAGGGGACUGUGACUGAGUGGCGGACGGGUGAGUAACGCGUGGGGAACCUGCCCCGUACCGGGGGAUAACAGCCGGAAACGGCUGCUAAUACCGCAUAAGCGCACAGUGCCGCAUGGCACAGUGUGAAAAACCACGGUGGUACGGGAUGGACCCGCGUCUGAUUAGUUAGUUGGCAGGGUAACGGCCUACCAAGACAGCGAUCAGUAGCCGGCCUGAGAGGGUGGACGGCCACACUGGGACUGAGACAUGGCCCAGACUCCUGCGGGAGGCAGCAGUGGGGAAUAUUGCACAAUGGGGGAAACCCUGAUGCAGCGACGCCGCGUGAGCGAGGAAGUAUUUCGGUAUGUAAAGCUCUGUCAGCAGGGAAGAAGAAUGACGGUACCUGAAGAAGAAGCACCGGCUAAAUACGUGCCAGCAGCCGCGGUAAUACGUAUGGUGCAAGCGUUAUCCGGAUUUACUGGGUGUAAAGGGAGCGCAGGCGGUACUGCAAGUCUGGUGUGAAAGCCCGGGGCUCAACCCCGGGACUGCACUGGAAACUGCAGGACUGGAGUGUC
rnacentral:rRNA from 1 species